rnacentral:lncRNA from 1 species
ACGGUCAAUAACCAAUAAUGGGACCUAGAUGCCCAUAUUGGUUCACAAAUAUUCUAUGUAUAUCUUUAUAAGUCGAACCAACGAUGUUAAGGAUUCAGCUAAUCCCGUAUGAAGUUCCCUUUGUCCAUCGAUAUAUUAUUUGACCGAGAUUCGAUCGUCGGUAUCUCCAUACCUAGUUCAAUAUCGUUAUCGGCAAGUAUAUUUACUCGUUUUAUAAUACAAGAUCUCGUGACUAACUCCUUGGUUACAUUGCUUGCAAGCUUUUUGUGAUGUUGUAUUACCGAGUGGGCCCAGAGAUACCUCUCCGUCAUACAGAGUGACAAAUCCCAAUCUUGAUCCAUGCCAACUCAACGGACACCCUUGGAUAUACCUGUAGAGCACAUUUAUAAUCAUCUAGUUACAUUGUGACAUAUGAUACACAAAAGGCAUUCCUCCAGUGUCAGUGAGUUGCAUGAUCUCAUGGUAAUAGGAACAAAUACAUUGACAUGCAGAAAGCAAUAGUAGUAAAGUGGAUACGAUCAAACACUAUGCUUAAGGUUUGGGUCAUGUCCAUCACAUCAUUAUCCUAUGAUGUGAUCCCAUUAUCAAAUGACAACUCAUGUCUAUGGCUAGGAAACCUUAGCCAUCUUUGAUCAACGAGCUAGUUUAGUAGAGGCUUACUAGGGACACUUUGUUGUAUAUGUAUUCACACAUGUAUUUGAAUUUCCAAUCAAUACAACUAUAGCAUGGAUAAUAAACGUUUAUCAUGAACAAGGAAAUAUGAUAAUAACCAAUUUAUUAUUGCAUCUAGGGCAUAUUUCCAACAAAGAUAGCAAUUAGUGUUUAUCUGAAAGCUAACACCUUCUGCACCCAUGUGCACAUGCUCACAAAACUCAGUCACUCAGCCCUUGAGACAAACAUAGACAUAGCCGUGUAAACCACAAAAAUCGAAAAGGAAACAAGCUUGCUAUGGAGGGCUAAUACAUUAGAUACCACUAUUCUUUAGACAAACUUGUAAGCAGGACACACCUGUUCACACCUUCAGCAUGAGAUUAAAUUUGUAAGCUAGAAAAAGAAGAACCUUUCUUUAAAUUUAAUGAAGGCCACAAAAUUGCUUCUCCAUGACGCGUUGUCGGCUUGCCUUAGACUGAUAAUGCGGUACAGAUAGAAGAAAACUCAAUUUUCCUACACCUUUUCAAUUAGCAAUGACUUAUAUUUCUCCAUGUGGUGAUAGAGAAAUAUUCCAAAUUCCCUCCGAUGAUCGGUAUCUACAAGACUGUAAAACAUGUUUCACUUGUCAAUCAACAUCAGAUGAUGAUUUAUCAUAAUAUGAAAUGAGAAAAUUAAGAAUAGAUAAUUUGGUAGAAAGAAACAACAUUCAGUUACAUAGUUCACACGCUACUUCGAUCCAUCGCUUGUGUGCAACUGGGAAACUUGUGAGGCUCUAAAUGCUAGAUGCGGCUCAUUUGCGUCCUUGGGUGGUUCAUAACGAACUAGAGGGAAACACCUGCGAUUGGGCCGGAGUGGCGACGGGGAUGGGGAGGGAAUUGUGCAGACAUAUGAGAACGUGAGCACAACACGCCCAGCAGUGCAAUGCUACGCGUUGCUUGAUCUGCGGCAGUGGCAGGCAAAGCGCAUAGCAAGAUUUGGUUGAGAGGGGAAGGGGUCCAUACCACAAAAAACGAAGUUCGAGUCGGAGUUCCGGCAGCGCAUGGAUGUAGGGGACCGACAACGCGUCAAGGUGAAAAUCUGGUGGUGCGUCGAGGCGGAGGUGGCGGCACCUAGCACCUCCUUAGCCGCCGCGAGAACUCUCCUUCUUCUCCCCUCUCCUAUUCUCCCAAAGAUGCACCGCUUUCCAGGUCGACUUCACCCGCAACCAUCGAUUGUCCCCACCGCUGCCCGUGACCGACGCAACACAGGCAACCCGUGCGAAGCGGAUGGGUUGCUUCCCGUGUAUAUACUUUCUUUUUUCCCGUCGUGGAACAAAUGCGAUUGUGGGAGAGUUUUCGUCCGCCACCUCAAAUCGCUAAACGUAUCUUUCAAUGAGAAUUACUUGUUAUAUCUACGGUUAGAUCUAAAUGAGUCGGUCUAAUUGUAAAGGUCUAAUUGAUCGGGAAUGUUAUGUGUGGAUUACGCCGGCUGCGUUUAGCAAUAAACAUGUUUGGUUGUUUAAUAGUAGUAGAGAUGCACGGCCAAGUUCGGUACUUGGGAACAUGAACUAUGUAAAAAAAUUGAAGUGUUCCCGAAAAUAUUAAUGUUCUGUCAUAGUUUUCAUCAUAUGUAGCAAAAAUAAAUAAUAUUCCAUCAAUCCUCUUUAAUUCUACAAUAAAUGCAUGUAAAUAAUUUGAAGCUUUUGUAUAUUCUUUUAGCCUCAGUUUACAGUUGACAAAAUGUGAUGUGAUGUGGUUACUUUAACAUGGACUAUGGAAAAUUGACAAUGGGAGUACAAAAAAGUCGGUCAAGUAAAAAAUAUAAUAGAAAAAAAAUGGUCAAGGCAAAUGUCAAACUCAUGCCGUUUUGGAUUUAAUAGCUUGGAUCUUUAUUGACAUAACCGUGUCCUUCCAGAAUCAACAUGUAUAGACAGAUAUACUUGUGGUAACGUGAUAUACUAAUAAUAUGCAUGCAAAUAAUAUGAAGCAUUGAAUUAAUUAUUAAUGCUUCGGGCUAAAUUGAUAUUGUAUAGUUUGCUAUCGUUUUUUUUUAGUUGAACAAAAGGUCUUUGAAGGAACUAGCAGUAUACCAAAACAUUAUGCAUACCAAGUUUAUUAUGUAAUUUUGUUGAUAUAGGCCAGUUUAUUCCUCAACCAUCUGCAAUGUAAAGAGGAUUCAAUAUCGUUUUGUAAGUUAUACUUGCAUGCUACGUUAUGCAUUCCCAUCGUAUAAUUAUUUUUUAUCUAAAAAGCAUAUAACCAACCCUUACACAAAAAAUAUAAUAUGUUCGCUUACACAAUAGUAGAAAUAAGGGUUUUCGUCCCAGCUCGAAAAACACAUUAGUCCCGGUUCCUUUAUGAACCGGGACUAAUGUUAGUAUUAGUCCCGGUUCGAGCGGCAAAGGCGCCGGUCGGGCAUUAGUCCCGGUUCAAAUGGGACCUUUAGUCCCGGUUCGUGUCUCGAAACGGGACUAACGGGUUUGGAGGAUUUAGUCCUGGUUCGUGUCUUGGACCUUUAGUCCCGGUUCGUGUCUCGAACCGGGACUAAAGGGUUUGGAGGAUUUAGUCCCGGUUGGUGUCUUGAACCGGGACUAAAGGGUAGACCUUUAGUCCCGGUUCGUGAUACGAACCGGGACUAAAGGUGUUCAGAUUUUUUUUUCUGUUUUUAAAUUCUUGUUUGUAAUUUCUGUUUUAAAUUGCUUAUAUCUUUUAGAAUAUUUGAUGUUUUUGAUUGACUCUUUUUGCAUUAGAUUCAAAAUUUUGUCUAGUUUCUGUUUGUGCCAUUAGUUUUCAAAUUUGAAUGGUUUAAAUUUGAAUUUGUUUAAAUUUGCUUCAAACCCAAUUUUUGAAUAACUUGAGUUUACAAAUAGUUUUUAAUUUAAUUAUUUUUGCUCCCACUCAUGUGUUAAAUUGUUGUCACAGUAAGAUUUAUUUGGUUAUUUUUAGAAUAAUUUAAAUUAGGAUUUUAAUUAAAGAAAUAUUGUUUUGCUUAUAUAGUUGUUUUAGUCAUUUAAUUGUUGUUUUUUAUUAUUUUUAGUUAGUUCUUUCUGUAGAUUUUAACAUGUUGUAGUAUGGUGCAUAUUUAAUGCACAAAAAAGCUACAGUUCAAUUAAUUUAAAAAAAAUGCCUUUGAGGCAGAUGGGUUUUCGUCUGAAACCUUGAUACUUUGAGUUUUGUAGAAAACAAACAAAAAUGAUAAAAUCUUCAAAAAAUAAACAAAAAUGAUAAAAUCUUCAAAAAAUAAAAUCCUUUGAGAUGUUGUUAGGUUUUAGUGUCUAGUCUGUAUAGAAAUUUUGAGAUAUGAAUUUUGACCGUUUUUGCAAAAAAAGGAAAAAAAAUAAACGGCCAUAACUUUUGCAUACAACGUCCAAAAAAAAUUAAUAUAUCAAAAAAAACUAGAAUAAAUUGGUACUCGAUUUCACCGGGGCUUGCCCGGUGAAGUUUUCUCACAUGCUCAAAAUUCCAAAUGGAAAAAAAGUUAUUUCAAAAAGAAGUUUUUUCCAAAAAAAAGAAAAAUAAUUUUAUUUAAAAAUAUUAGGUUGUUUUCAUUGAAAUUCACUAUUAUUGUUACUUAUUAAGUUUAUUUUAAUAAUUGUUUGUAAUUCAAAAAAUUAAAUCAUGUGACAUGACAUCAAGACCCAAGUUGUUUAGGAUUGAUAGCUUACUGUUGUCAGGAAAACAACAAGUGCACAAUUGGCAACUAGGGGCGAUAGAACCAGAAAGUUAAGCGUGCUCGGGCUAAAGCAGUGAAAGGAUGGGUGAUCGGUCGGGAAGUUAGACGAUUUGAAAUGAGUGAUCCACGCUAGAGCAGUGAGGAUGGGUGAUUAGAGAUUAAAUUGUCAAAUAAUUCAAAGAUUAGAAAAUUGGAAUAAAACAUAAAAAAUAUUCAAAAAUAAAAUUUGAAAAAAAUUAAAAAAAAAAUCUACCUUUUCGGGUCAAACAAACAAAAAAAACAGACGGAUCCUUUAGUCCCGGUUCGUAAGUAGAACCGAGACUAAAGGUACUCCCUCCGAGGCGGCCACGUGGAGCACCUUUGGUCCCGGCUUGGAACAGGGCCGGGACUAAAGGUUAGGCCUUUAGUCCCGGUUGGUGAACCGGGACUAAAGCCCCUUACGGGCCGGGACUAAAGGCCAUGUCCCCACUAGUGACAUAUCACACACAUCAAUGCACUAACCUGACUUGAAAACUUGUUCACUCCCUCUUCUUGCUGUGAUGGAGAAAUCAAGCAGCCACACCAGCAACAGAUUUGAUUUUAGUGUGUAAUGAUGAACACUACUCUGGAAAAUCCGAAAACAAAAUCAAGGUAUUGCAAAUAGAUUAUGACAGAACGACAUCCAUGUUCUUACCCGAGUGGCAUCCUAGCUAGUAACUAUUUUCCAACAUAUUGUAGAUAUCUAUCUCAUAUACAUGAAAUUGCCAAUUUAUAAAUAUAACAACGGAAGCAACACAAAGAAAUCGAAGAUGAAAAUUGGAAUAAAACAUAAAAAAUAUUCAAAAAUAAAAUUUGAAAAAAAUUAAAAAAAAUCUACCUUUUCGGGUCAAACAAACAAAAAAAACAGACGGAUCCUUUAGUCCCGGUUCGUAAGUAGAACCGGGACUAAAGGUACUCCCUCCGAGGCGGCCACGUGGAGCACCUUUGGUCCCGGCUUGGAACAGGGUCGGGACUAAAGGUUAGGCCUUUAGUCCCGCCCCUUUAGUCCCGGUUGGUGAACCGGGACUAAAGCCCUUACGGGCCGGGACUAAAGGCCCUGUCCCCACUAGUGACAUAUCACACACAUCAAUGCACUAACCUGACUUGAAAACUUGUUCACUCCCUCUUCUUGCUGUGAUGGAGAAAUCAAGUAGCCACACCAGCAACAGAUUUGGUUUUAGUGUGUAAUGAUGAACACUACUCUGGAAAAUCCGAAAACAAAAUCAAGGUAUUGUAAAUAGAUUAUGACAGAACGACAUCCAUGUUCUUACCCGAGUGGCACCCUAGCUAGUAACUAUUUUCCAACAUAUUGUAGAUAUCUAUCCCAUAUACAUGAAAUUGCCAAUUUAUAAAUAUAACAACGGAAGCAACACAAAGAAAUCGAAGAUGAAAAAAUAAAGAACUUACUCUGAAUAUGCAUGGCUGCUAGCAGUGCACUGAGAGCAUGUCCGUGACUGGGGCUGGCGUAUUAUCUCUCCCGCGCACCUGGCCGACACCGAACUGCAGCCCAAAGCCUCGUCAUCCCAAUGUUGGUGCUGGUGCACUUUGUUGCCGUACAAAGCAUCAGCAUGAAAUCUAUUAACCUAGCGUGGGCAACUUUCCGGCCGAUUGAAAGCUGGCUAGCCUUCAACGUAAUCGACCCAGCAGCUUGGUUCCAAAGAUACAUCAUUUAUUUGUAUGUCUCAGCAGAAUUAACAUAAGUAUGCAUGAAUGCUUAGUAGCCAGCGCGUCCACGGACACUGACCGGUCACGUAUCAAAUAAUGCAUUCUACAUCCGGAGAUUCUAAAUUAGAAACCUCAAAUCCAUACUAUUACAUACAACGUAAACCUAAUACUAAAGAAGCUCGCCCGGCUUCGUCGUGUCCAUGCCCGAAGGCUGGCUGCGCCCCUGGCCAGGUAGAGUAGGACAUGAGACAAUAGCCGUCUCAUGUGAGUCGAGCUCCCGCCGUCUCCCAUGCCCUACUCUUCCACGUCGGAGCCGGUAACCCGGAUGGUGCCAGUCAACAUGAGGUGGCUGACGGAUCCUUCCUGGGAGGAGUGGACGUCCAUCACGACGCGGUUGUGUCGCCCACACUCGUGCACCCUACUGGUUGCCGGAGAGUGCGACUCCGCCUAUUCAACAUCCACCGCCGCGAGGGCCUCCACCACAUCACGUGCCCCCUGCCUCGCCCGACGGGCACACCGCGCCAUUACAUCAUUCGAGGACGGCCAUGCUUCGUGCUCGGAGCGCCAACGGAGGGUUUCGCUUCCGCCAUGGUGUUCAGACGCAAAACCGACCGCACCAUCACUGAUGAGGCAGCGAUGCCGGAUCCAAACACCGAUUGUGCGGACGCAAUAGAUUUCCGGCGUUGCAAGUCCGAGCGCUGCCGUCGUGCGGCCACCUCCCGAGAGUGGCGGAGCGCAACCUGGACGGCCAUCUCCUCCUUGGGGCCACGUGGGACGAGCUUGUGGUCGACGGAUCUGGAGGUGAAGCACUGAGAUCAGCUAACCACCAUCCCGAUGGUUAGUUUGGGUGGCGGAUGGGAGUGAAGUGAAGUGGCUAGGGAUUUGUCCGACGAACGGAUGGGGACGAAUAUAUGUAGGGUGGAUGCAGGCCUGAGCGGGCCAAUGCGGGCAAGGUGGGCAUGCCCAGACAAGCCCGGGCUCCCUCAUAUCCAUCCCAUAUGUAGACUGGAUAUGAGGGGUGCUGAUCAGCCCAGACGUUUCAGGCCGGUUGAGGGGUCCGUCUAGGUUGCUUUUUCAUGACCGAUGAGUGAUCGGGCGGCCUGCCCGGGCGUUUGAGGAGGGUUUAAAAGGUCUGAUUGUAGAUCCUCUUAGGAUUUUCUUUCGCGGGAAGAGAUCGUUAUAUUUGACAUGACAUAUUCUUUUCAUUGAUUAAAAUGGGGAUUCUCAAUAUAUGGAUUAAUUUGGACCUUAAUAAUUCAGACCCACCAAAAGAGCAGUUCCUAAUUUUUAAUUAAGCUUUAAAUUUCUAAUUCUAAAUAUAUGGAUUAAUUUGGACCAUAAUAACUUGGUCUCAUUAGAUAAGCAGCUCCUAAUUACAUAUUGACAUGAUAAUUUCUGGAUAAGUGGAUCCUAAUUAUUGAUUAAUGUGAUGAUUUCUAGACAAAUGGAUCCUAAUUACUGAUUAACACGGUAAUUUCUAGGAAGUCUUUAAUUAAUAUAGGUAUAGAUAUAAAUAGAUAGAUGCAACUAAUAAUAACUUGUCGGAUCACCCGACACAACGUACCUGAUCGUGCAACAAAUCAUGCUACAGCUUUCGCGGCGUCUUGCCGCUUCUCGGCAAAAUUGACAAAAAUGACCCCUGGGGCGAAAGAACUCACGGAUUGACCCCUCGGGGGAAAUAAUUCACCGGCCUGACCCUUUUGUAUGGCGCCCGACACCUAGGCGCCACACUGUACUGUGUGACGCCUAGAGGUUCGGCGCCACACCCCCGACCACGUGGCAGGGAGGGGCCCACCCCUAGGCAGUGUGACGCCUAAGCCUCAGGCAUCACACAUUGUAAUGUGUGGCGCCUAACGCUUAGGCGCCACACAUUGACUUAUACAGCCACGGGCCAGCCCCCCUCCCCACCCCCUCCCUCAUUCAAACAGAAACUGCCACUGCGGUGGCGGCUGGCUCUCAUCCCCUCCCUAAUCCCCUCCCCCAUCUCCUUCAGAUCUGGGGAUUUCUUUCUUGGAUUGAUCUCCCAAGGUAAUGUCCUCCCCCAUCCCUUCCCUUUCCCAUCCUUCUAUCCAAUUGUAUUAGGUUUUGGUUGAGUAGAUUGAUUUUAGUAGAUUGAUUUGAGUAGGUUCUUAGGAUUUGACUAGUUAGGAUAUGAGUUAGGAUUUGGUUGAGUAUAUGAGUAGUUAGUAGUUAGUAGUAGUAGUAGUUAGUAGUAGUAGUAGUUAGUAGUAGUAGUUAGUAUUAGUAGUAGUUCAUAUGAGUAUAUGAGUCUUAUUUGAAUAUGAGUAUCAGUAGUAGUUCAUAGUAGUUAGUAUUAGUAGUAGUUCAUAUGAGUAUAGUUAGUAUUAGUAGUAGUUCUUAGGAUUGUAGGAUGGUGUAAUUUUUUGAAUAUGAGUCUUAUUUGAAUAUN